rnacentral:rRNA from 1 species
CAGCAGCCGCGGUAAUACAGAGGGUGCAAGCGUUAAUCGGAAUUACUGGGCGUAAAGCGCGCGUAGGUGGUUUGUUAAGUUGGAUGUGAAAGCCCUGGGCUCAACCCAGGAAGUGCACUGGAUACUGGCAGACUUGAAUACGGGAGAGGGUAGUGGAAUUCCUAGUGUAGGAGUGAAAUCCGUAGAUAUUAGGAGGAACACCGGUGGCGAAGGCGGCUACCUGGACCGAUAUUGACGCUGAGACGCGAAAGCGUGGGUAGCAAACAGGAUUAGAUACCCUGGUAGUCCACGCCGUAAACGAUGAGAACUAGGUGUUGCGGGUAUUGACCCCUGCAGUGCCGCAGCUAACGCAUUAAGUUCUCCGCCUGGGAAGUACGGUCGCAAGACUAAAACUCAAAGGAAUUGACGG